CAGGGAGACAAACCUGAUUGUGAUGUCUGAAUGUUUUUAAUCUCAGGCCAUGAUCCUGUCAUCUCAAGGUCGAUCGGUACCUCAGGGUUGGACUGCAGAAGACUUGAGUGAUCAAGGCUUGCUGUGGAUUCAACGUUCAGUUUCUAAACGUUGUCUAGGUCACCCCAUGCGGGCUGACUUUCCUGGGCCAUUAGCUCAGGUGGUUAGAGUGCACCCCUGAUAAGGGUGAGGUCCCUGGUUCAAGUACAGGAUGGCCCAUUCGUCUGUCUGCGCGAGCGGAUGGAGGAUUUAUUUGGGGGUUUAGCUCAGUUGGUAGAGCGCCUGCUUUGCAAGCAGGAUGACAGCGGUUCGAGUCCGCUAACCUCCACUGACCACCCCUGAUUAGGAAGCAGAACGAAGGGUGAACUAGAUUGGUUGACGCUGAAAGAUUUCAGCCUCAGCUCAUUCCCAAGAGUUGAUUCAAUCAUCUGUGGCGACAGCCAUUGAUCACUGACUCAUUCCUGUUGGUUGAGCUGAUGCUGGAUUCAGCAAGCGGCCGCGCGAGCGGCUUGUUUGCAUGAGAUUCAGCAGAACCUUGACAACUGCAUAGGUGAGUCUGGAAAGACAAAGCAUCUCAUAGAUGAGAUCUGAACUGGUUUGAGCUUGCUCAAGCUGGAGAGGAUCGAGUUUCUAUUAUUUGAGAGCCGAGACCUUCUAGCGUUCUUCUCUGGUCGCCGAGAUCAGAGGAGUUUGAUCCUUGUUUCAAACUGAAGCAGCGAUGCUUUAAGUGAAACUUUAGAGAAUAGGCCUCAACAGCCUGAAGCGUUAGGAGGAUGAUUU
rnacentral:tRNA from 1 species